GAUCACCUCUCUUGGUGUCUUCUGGUGAGCUCAGCCAAAGGCCUGGAAAAUAUACAUGGAUUUCUAUGUUUGUGUGAAGCAUUAGUGACAUCCAGUGGUUACCAACACAAAUGGAACACAUGGGCACACCCUGAAACGCGUGGACAAGGAAAAGCUGGUUUUGCUGUCAGGGGCAGAGGUUACCAAGAAAAGCAGCAGGAACUCUACUCCAAAAGAUAUCAAACCCCAGGGACCGGGCCUGGCACGGCCUGGGGCUGCCAGCUCUGCGCGAGCCAGC